rnacentral:rRNA from 1 species
CCUACGGGAGGCAGCAGUGGGGAAUAUUGCACAAUGGGGGAAACCCUGAUGCAGCAACGCCGCGUGAGUGAAGAAGGUUUUCGGAUUGUAAAGCUCUGUUAGCAGGGAAGAGGAAGGACGGUACCUGCAGAGGAAGCCACGGCUACCUACGUGCCAGCAGCCGCGGUAAUACGGAGGAUGCGAGCGUUAUCCGGAUUUAUUGGGUUUAAAGGGUGCGUAGGCGGGCUUUUAAGUCAGCGGUAAAAAUUCGGGGCUCAACCCCGUCCGGCCGUUGAAACUGGGGGCCUUGAGUGGGCGAGAAGAAGGCGGAAUGCGUGGUGUAGCGGUGAAAUGCAUAGAUAUCACGCAGAACCCCGAUUGCGAAGGCAGCCUUCCGGCGCCCGACUGACGCUGAGGCACGAAAGUGCGGGGAUCGAACAGGAUUAGAUACCCUUGUAGUC